rnacentral:SRP_RNA from 12 species
UCCGAGAUCGAAUGUGCCCCGGUCUUGAAGAUGAAGAGAAUCUCCGGGUCGAUUCUGAAAGUCUCGCGCGAGUAGUCGGUCAGUUGGGCA